AGGAGACGUUUUAUUUAUGUUGUUAUUAGUUUGUCAUGUUCAUCUAGAGCGGCUUACACUGUUGAUACUUGCACAUAUCACCACCACAUACAGUCUGUGAACGUUUGUCCAGACUCGUAUCAAAUUUAAAUUUAAGGAAUUACAUUUUUAAAAAGCAUAUUUAAGCUCAGUGAAUAUUCUGCUGUUAUUUCAAUGAGUCAGAAACAACUCAAAGCUAGCGCUCCAUGGUCUAAGCAGCUCGGAAAGAAAAGCGUUGGGACUUCUUUAAGUUUCCUUGAAGACAUUUAAUCCGAGAAGCUUCUUCAGUUCUAGGGUCACAUGGUGGAGAGUCCCAGAUUUAAGCCCUGUGGGAGUGUCCCCACCAAGAGGGUCAAUGGACCCCCUAAUGAUCCUCUACCUAAUCAUAUGAGCCAAGGUGUAAAAACGGGUGUAGCUCACAAUCAGCCAGGGUUUCGGGUGAACUCAUUGUGAAACCUGGCCCCGCCCUAUCAUGUGACUAACUGAGGUCAGAAGGCCCAGGAUGUGAGUGGGCGUUAAGGCGUCUGGAUUAUAGGUGGCAGACAGUUGGUGUCAUAAGCCCCGCCUCUGUUCAAAGAUGGCCGUUCACAGUGGACAUAGAUGCUUCUUUCACUCCUCUUUCAAACCAUCUGUCUUCUCUUUAGAAGAUGGAGACCUCCAUAAUCACUCCUUGGCUCCUGUGAUUAUGUAGAGGAUAGUCUAAUCUGGGACUCUCCACCAUUUAACCUUAGAGCUGAAGAAGCUUCUCGGGUGAAACAUCUUCAACAAACUUAAAGACGUCCAGACGCUUUUCUUUCCGAGCUCCUUGGACUACGAUGACCUGGAUGACUGAGAACCUUCACAGACUAACACUUCAUGCAAGCUACGAGCUGUUUCCCCCCCACACACAUCCCCACAAGUUCAAUGCUCUCAAUGUCCAGGAAGUUCCCAAAGAGUUCAAAGGUGUCUUCAAAGGGUGAAAUAAACCUUUAGUAGUUUUUUCCACCUUCUUAUUUCGGGGUCUUAAAAGUCAACUGGAUGUAAUUUUGGUUUAUUUCAGCCUGCUGUAAAAUCAGAGCUCGGUGUGAAGAUUUCAGUUUUAUCACGUGGUGCCAACUCACAACAGCGCUUUAUAUUGAAAGACUCUGCAAACUUUGUUGCAGCUGCAAAUUUAAAAUGCUGGUUGCAAAAAGAGCCCCGACUGCUCUGCACCUGUACUGAAACGUGACCCUUGAGCAGGGGGGUGUUUGGGUUGGUUAACGCUCUCCUGGAGGUGUAUGACUCACCCGGUCAAAUGUGAUUGGUCAACAAAAGCUUCUUGCACAAAAACCUUGUCCCUGUUUAUAGAGGUUAUUGAUUCUGUGGCUGUUCACCUCCUAACAUCCACAGGUUUCCACCAACCUGUUUGGAAUAGGAUCACAUUUAUACGGAAUUUUCACCUGUUUGGAAAUCUGGAAGGUCAAAAUGGAUCUAUGAGAUUUGGUUUGAGAGGUAAAAUCAUCUAGUUUGGAAAGCUGGGCGUGUUUAGCAUGUGGGGAAAUUCAACCUAACCUUAACCCUCACGUAUCCACUGGUGACCUGGUGGACGGUAAACAGGACUAACGAGGACCACGCUGACUCUCUGCCGGCCUGAACGAGGAAAUGCAGGACGCUACAAGCUUCUUUGUGCUUGGGCGUCAAAUAAGUUGUUCUGACCUUUUGUUUCUUCUGCACACCCUGCAGCUGAACAUGAACACAGCUGUUUAAGCCCAAACAGCUGCAGCAGUAAAUAUGAGGCUGCAGGGUAAUAAAACAUUCAUUAACAAGUAAAAAAGUUCAAACAGACUUACGAGCUGGACUGAGCCUCCGACCUCCAGCAGAGAAGCCACACACACACGAGGAGGACACACACCUUCAUCCUGAAGGAAUUCCAGGAAUUCCCAGGAAUGUGUUGUGAGAGUUUCCGUACCAGACGAGCAGCUCCUGGUCGGGAGGGAUGGUCUGAGGAGGGAAGAGAAAAGAGGAAGAACAAUAAAUACUUGAAUCAGCGUUUACUUUAUCGUAGCAACAUUACUGCGUUUCAUUAUCACAGUAUUAUUGUUUUAUUGUAAAAAUUUGAUUCUUUCUUUCAAACUUGUCAUAAAUUCUGAAACAUUUUCAGAAUUUCUGUUUUUCUUUUUCUCAGUUCAAAUCCGUUUAAAUUUCAGCUGCAUGUGUUUAACCUUCGAGCAUCCAGAGCCGCCGGAGUGGAGGGUUACGCUCAGACAGCUGGAGGAGCCGGGUCGAAGAACGGCACCUGAAAUCAGGCCAAGCUUCAUCGCUCAAGGAUUUAUUUUAGAGAACAGAUGACGGCAGCACGCUGACGCUUCCCGUGUUUCCUUCACGUGGAUCUGGAGGGUGGAAUGACCACCACCCUCCUGUGCCAGCGGCUGACCUCCUCUUCAGUUUAACGAUCAAACAAACUUGAGUGAAGCCUUUAAAACAUUUGUUCAUGGACAAAAAACCCAUUUUACUCUGAUAAUGAUGUAAAAUUAUUCUUAGUCUGAACAUUAAUGUGAACACUGCGUAACAACACUCUCAGUCACACUUCGUUCAUCGUCUUUCGUCUCAUUUUGACAAAUGAAUGUGAGACUUUUUAAAAACAGAUCAGAUGCUCAGGCGGCGCUCUCGUGUGUCGGUUUGGACAAAUCUGAAGGCGAGGCGUCUCUCAUUAAACUUGUCAGAAUAUCCACGAACAGAUAAUAAAACUUCAUUUUCAUUCUGCAA